rnacentral:sRNA from 1 species
UUGCGUGAGCGACUGACGCAGGGCAUGG